GACAAUGGUGGUGAGUUCGUCGCA
rnacentral:siRNA from 1 species